rnacentral:misc_RNA from 1 species
GAUGAAGAACUCAGCGAAAUGCGAUAAGUAAUGUGAAUUGCAGAAUUCCGUGAAUCAUCGAAUCUUUGAACGCACAUUGCGCCCUCUGGUAUUCCGGGGGGCAUGCCUGUCCGAGCGUCAUUUGCAACCCUCAAGCCCGGCUUGUGUGAUGGGUGCCGUCCCCUACGGGACGCGCCCCGAAGGCAAUGGCGGCGUCGCGGUUAUCCGAUCAGCCAAAGUGUAUGGGGCUUUGUCACUCACUUUACGGCCCGGACCGGCGCCAGUCCGAAUCAAUCUUUUUUCUAAAGUUGACCUCGGAUCAGGUAGGGAUACCCGCUGAACUUAAGCAUAUCAAUAAGCGGAGA